rnacentral:rRNA from 1 species
UACAGAGGGGGCAAGCGUUAUUCGGAAUUAUUGGGCGUAAAGGGCGCGUAGGCGGCUUUGCAAGUGACGGGUGAAAGCCCUCGGCUUAACCGAGGAACUGCCUGUCAGACUGUAAGGCUUGAGACCGGGAGAGGUGAGUGGAAUUCCCAGUGUAGCGGUGAAAUGCGUAGAUAUUGGGAGGAACACCAGUGGCGAAGGCGGCUAUCUGGACCGACAUUGACGCUGAGGCGCGAAAGCGUGGGGAGCAAACAGG